UACGAGGGAUGCAAGCGUUAUCCGGAAUUAUUGGGCGUAAAGCGUUUGUAGGCGGGCGAGUGUGUUUAAUGUUAAAUCUUAAAGCUCAACUUUGAAAUUGCGUUAAAAACUGCUUGUCUUGAGUAUGGUAGGGGUAAAGGGAAUUCCCAGUGUAGCGGUGAAAUGCGUAGAUAUUGGGAAGAACACUAAACAGCGAAGGCACUUUACUAGGCUAAUACUGACGCUGAGAAACGAAAGGUAAGGUAGCAAAACGGAUUAGAUACCCGUGUAGUCUUACCCGUAAACUAUGGACACUAAACGGUAAAUUUUUAAUUUACUGUUAAAGCUAAUGCGUUAAGUGUCCCGCCUGGGGAGUAUGCUUGCAAAAGUGAAACUCAAAGGAAUUGACGGGGGCCCGCACAAGCGGUGGAGCAUGUGGUUUAAUUCGACGGUACACGAAGAACCUUACCAGGAUUUGACAUGCUAGAUAGUUGCUUGAAAGAGUAACGUGCCGUAAGGAAUCUAGACACAGGUGGUGCAUGGCUGUCGUCAGUUCGUGUUGUGAAAUGUUGGGUUAAGUCCCGCAACGAACGCAACCCUUGUCUUUAGUUAUUUUCUAAAGAGACUGCCUGUAAUAAACAGGAGGAAGGUAAGGAUGAGGUCAAGUCAUCAUGCCCCUUAUGUCCUGGGCUACACACGUGCUACAAUGGGAAAGACAAUGAGCUGCAAAUCUGUAAAUUUAAGCAAAUCUCUUAAACUUUCUCGUAGUUCGGAUUGUGGGCUGCAACUCGCCCACAUGAAGUUGGAAUCGCUAGUAAUCGCCAGUCAGCUAUAUGGCGGUGAAUCCGUUCCCGGGCCU
rnacentral:rRNA from 1 species